rnacentral:rRNA from 1 species
GGUGCUUGCAUCAUGAUUUACAUUUGAGUGAGUGGCGAACUGGUGAGUAACACGUGGGAAACCUGCCCAGAAGCGGGGGAUAACACCUGGAAACAGAUGCUAAUACCGCAUAACAACUUGGACCGCAUGGUCCGAGUUUGAAAGAUGGCUUCGGCUAUCACUUUUGGAUGGUCCCGCGGCGUAUUAGCUAGAUGGUGAGGUAACGGCUCACCAUGGCAAUGAUACGUAGCCGACCUGAGAGGGUAAUCGGCCACAUUGGGACUGAGACACGGCCCAAACUCCUACGGGAGGCAGCAGUAGGGAAUCUUCCACAAUGGACGAAAGUCUGAUGGAGCAACGCCGCGUGAGUGAAGAAGGGUUUCGGCUCGUAAAACUCUGUUGUUAAAGAAGAACAUAUCUGAGAGUAACUGUUCAGGUAUUGACGGUAUUUAACCAGAAAGCCACGGCUAACUACGUGCCAGCAGCCGCGGUAAUACGUAGGUGGCAAGCGUUGUCCGGAUUUAUUGGGCGUAAAGCGAGCGCAGGCGGUUUUUUAAGUCUGAUGUGAAAGCCUUCGGCUCAACCGAAGAAGUGCAUCGGAAACUGGGAAACUUGAGUGCAGAAGAGGACAGUGGAACUCCAUGUGUAGCGGUGAAAUGCGUAGAUAUAUGGAAGA